rnacentral:misc_RNA from 1 species
GGGAGUUUAGUCAAGAGGCU